AUUGAACGCUGGCGGCAUGCCUUACACAUGCAAGUCGAACGGCAGCACGGGAGCAAUCCUGGUGGCGAGUGGCGAACGGGUGAGUAAUACAUCGGAACGUGCCCAGUAGUGGGGGAUAGCCCGGCGAAAGCCGGAUUAAUACCGCAUACGACCUACGGGUGAAAGCGGGGGAUCGCAAGACUUCGCGCUAUUGGAGCGGCCGAUGGCAGAUUAGCUUGUUGGUGGGGUAAAAGCCUACCAAGGCGACGAUCUGUAGCUGGUCUGAGAGGACGACCAGCCACACUGGGACUGAGACACGGCCCAGACUCCUACGGGAGGCAGCAGUGGGGAACUUUGGACAAUGGGCGCAAGCCUGAUCCAGCCAUGCCGCGUGCGGGAAGAAGGCCUUCGGGUUGUAAACCGCUUUUGUCAGGGAAGAAACGGUCUAAUCUAAUAAAUUGGACUAAUGACGGUACCUGAAGAAUAAGCACCGGCUAACUACGUGCCAGCCGCCGCAGUAA
rnacentral:rRNA from 1 species